rnacentral:rRNA from 1 species
AACGAACGCUGGCGGCAUGCCUAACACAUGCAAGUCGAACGAAGGCUUCGGCCUUAGUGGCGCACGGGUGCGUAACGCGUGGGAAUCUGCCCUUGGGUUCGGAAUAACGUCGGGAAACUGACGCUAAUACCGGAUGAUGACGUAAGUCCAAAGAUUUAUCGCCCAAGGAUGAGCCCGCGUCGGAUUAGCUAGUUGGUGAGGUAAAAGCUCACCAAGGCGACGAUCCGUAGCUGGUCUGAGAGGAUGAUCAGCCACACUGGGACUGAGACACGGCCCAGACUCCUACGGGAGGCAGCAGUGGGGAAUAUUGGACAAUGGGCGAAAGCCUGAUCCAGCAAUGCCGCGUGAGUGAUGAAGGCCUUAGGGUUGUAAAGCUCUUUUACCCGGGAUGAUAAUGACCGUACCGGGAGAAUAAGCGCCGGCUAACUCCGUG